rnacentral:misc_RNA from 1 species
GAAGCAGCUUCCUGGUUGAGCUUGCCACUCCUCUUAACCCUAAUUUUUGUCUCAAAAUUUAUUUUACAAAAACUUGUAAACAAUAAAAAUUACCCUCCCAGCCCCCCUUCUCUUCCAAUUUUAGGACAUCUCCAUUUGCUUAAGGUACCAUUUCAUCGAACUCUUCAUGAGCUUUCUGCAAAAUAUGGGCAUGCGUUGCUUCUCCGAUUCGGUAGUCGUAAAG